rnacentral:lncRNA from 1 species
CACCAAUCGUCGAUUUAAGCUCAUCUAAUGGUGUUUUAGCUCGCGAUGGGAGCUACGCUGAGGUGUGGAAGGUCUCACCGGAAACCACCGUGGUCAACAGGACAAGCGAGGCCAGCUUGCUCCCUCGCCUGGCGACGUGGCAGAAAUCAGAGGACAUCGCGCAGAAAAUCCUCUACUCAAUCGAAUGUGAAAUGAGGCGGUGUCCUUACACUCUGGGUCUAGGAGAACCAAACCUCGCCGGUAAACCUAAUCUCGACUACGACGCUGUUUGCAAACCGAACGACGUUCACAAUCUUAAGAAGAGUCCGUAUGAUCACAUAGACAACCAUGAGAACCAAACGCUGUACACAACGCACC